AUUGAACGCUGGCGGCAUGCCUUACACAUGCAAGUCGAACGGCAGCACGGGGCAACCUGGUGGCGAGUGGCGAACGGGUGAGUAAUGCAUCGGAACGUACCUUUCAGUGGGGGAUAACGUAGCGAAAGUUACGCUAAUACCGCAUAUUCUGUGAGCAGGGAAGCAGGGGAUCGCAAGACCUUGCGCUGAUUGAGCGGCCGAUGUCAGAUUAGCUAGUUGGUGAGGUAAAGGCUCACCAAGGCGACGAUCUGUAGCGGGUCUGAGAGGAUGAUCCGCCACACUGGAACUGAGACACGGUCCAGACUCCUACGGGAGGCAGCAGUGGGGAAUUUUGGACAAUGGGGGCAACCCUGAUCCAGCCAUGCCGCGUGAGUGAAGAAGGCCUUCGGGUUGUAAAGCUCUUUCGGCCGGGAAGAAAUCGCACGGGCUAAUACCCUGUGUGGAUGACGGUACCGGAAUAAGAAGCACCGGCUAACUACGUGCCAGCCGCCGCAUAAGAC
rnacentral:rRNA from 1 species